GACGAACGCUGGCGGCGUGCUUAACACAUGCAAGUCGAACGGUGAAGCUCCAGCUUGCUGGAGUGGAUCAGUGGCGAACGGGUGAGUAACACGUGAGCAACCUGCCCCUGACUCUGGAAUAAGCGCUGGAAACGGCGUCUAAUACUGGAUACGAGAAGGGUCCGCAUGGGCACUUUCUGGAAAGUUUUUCGGUUGGGGAUGGGCUCGCGGCCUAUCAGCUUGUUGGUGAGGUAAUGGCUCACCAAGGCGACGACGGGUAGCCGGCCUGAGAGGGCGACCGGCCACACUGGGACUGAGAAACGGCCCAGACUCCUACGGGAGGCAGCAGUGGGGAAUAUUGCACAAUGGGCGAAAGCCUGAUGCAGCGACGCCGCGUGAGGGAUGACGGCCUUCGGGUUGUAAACCUCUUUCAGCAGGGAAGAAGCGAAAGUGACGGUACCUGCAGAAGAAGCACCGGCUAACUACGUG
rnacentral:rRNA from 1 species